UGUAUUUAUUAGAUAAAAAACCAAUGCCCUUCGGGGCUUUUUGGUGAUUCAUGAUAACUUUACGGAUCGCAUAGCCUUGCGCUGGCGACGGUUCAUUCAAAUUUCUGCCCUAUCAACUUUCGAUGGUAAGGUAUUGGCUUACCAUGGUUUCAACAGGUAACGGGGAAUUAGGGUUCGAUUCCGGAGAGGGAGCCUGAGAAACGGCUACCACAUCCAAGGAAGGCAGCAGGCGCGCAAAUUACCCAAUCCCGACACGGGGAGGUAGUGACAAUAAAUACUGAUACAGGGCUCUUUUGGGUCUUGUAAUUGGAAUGAGUACAAUUUAAACCUCUUAACGAGGAACAAUUGGAGGGCAAGUCUGGUGCCAGCAGCCGCGGUAAUUCCAGCUCCAAUAGCGUAUAUUAAAGUUGUUGCAGUUAAAAAGCUCGUAGUUGAAACUUGGGCCUGGCUGGCGGGUCCGCCUCACCGCGUGCACUCGUCCGGCCGGGCCUUCCUUCUGAAGAACCUCAUGCCCUUCACUGGGCGUGCUGGGGAACCAGG
rnacentral:rRNA from 1 species